UACGGAGGGUGCAAGCGUUAUCCGGAUUCACUGGGCUUAAAGGGUGCGUAGGCGGGCAGGUAAGUCAGUGGUGAAAUCUCCGAGCUUAACUCGGAAACUGCCGUUGAUACUAUUUGUCUUGAAUAUUGUGGAGGUAAGCGGAAUAUGUCAUGUAGCGGUGAAAUGCUUAGAUAUGACAUAGAACACCAAUUGCGAAGGCAGCUUACUACACAUCGAUUGACGCUGAGGCACGAAAGCGUGGGGAUCAAACAGG
rnacentral:rRNA from 1 species